UUCAACAUGCACGCUAGUUGUUGGGUUACCCGAAACCCGCUAGCGAAGUGAAAGCAAGGCACGGCUCUGUCGUGUAUUUGGCGAGAUCCCGUAACUUGGUGGUGUAAAAACUACCGAGCCGGGCGCAUCGCCGGCCCAUCUCAAGCUCAAGUGGCUGAGGUGGAGCUUGAGCGUGCGCGUUGAGACCCGAAAGAUGGUGAACUAUGCCUGGACAGGGCGAAGCCAGGGGAAACUCUGGUGGAGGCCCGUAGCGAUUCUGACGUGCAAAUCGAUCGUCUGAUCUGGGUAUAGGGGCGAAAGACUAAUCGAACCAUCUAGUAGCUGGUUCCCUCCGAAGUUUCCCUCAGGAUAGCUGGCACUCGGAGAACGUAGUCUCUCCCGAUAAAGCGAAUGAUUAGAGGUCUUGGGGUCGAAACGACUUCAACCUAUUCUCAAACUUUGAAUGGGAGAGUGUCUGGCUUGCUUAAAGCAUGAAGUCCGGACGUUGGAUACGAGCGCCUAGUGGG
rnacentral:rRNA from 1 species